rnacentral:rRNA from 1 species
UACAGAGGGUGCGAGCGUUGUCCGGAAUCACUGGGCGUAAAGGGCGCGUAGGUGGUGGCUUAAGCGUGCGGUGAAAGCUCGGGGCUCAACCCCGAGACGUCGGUGGAAACCACCUUGCUAGAGUCCGGAAGAGGAGAGUGGAAUUCCUGGUGUAGCGGUGAAAUGCGCAGAUAUCAGGAGGAACACCAAUGGCGAAGGCAGCUCGCUGGGACGUGACUGACGCUGAGACGCGAAAGCGUGGGGAGCAAACAGG